UAGUAAAAAUUCUAUCCCUUGGUAUUCUUAUAAAUUGGUGUAGCGCACAAAAUAAUUAAAUAGUGACGUGGUUUGCCAUAUAUACCUCAAACUGACAUACAAAGACCAGUUUUUAACAGUGAAAAUAGAUAAAAUUUUUAAUA
rnacentral:pre_miRNA from 1 species